GACGAACGCUGGCGGCGUGCUUAACACAUGCAAGUCGAACGGAAAGACCCUGCUUUUGUGGGGUGCUCGAGUGGCGAACGGGUGAGUAACACGUGAGUAACCUGCCCUUGACUUUGGGAUAACUUCAGGAAACUGGGGCUAAUACCGGAUAGGAGCUCCUGCUGCAUGGUGGGGGUUGGAAAGUUUCGGCGGUUGGGGAUGGACUCGCGGCUUAUCAGCUUGUUGGUGGGGUAGCGGCUUACCAAGGCUUUGACGGGUAGCCGGCCUGAGAGGGUGACCGGCCACAUUGGGACUGAGAUACGGCCCAGACUCCUACGGGAGGCAGCAGUGGGGAAUAUUGCACAAUGGGCGGAAGCCUGAUGCAGCAACGCCGCGUGCGGGAUGACGGCCUUCGGGUUGUAAACCGCUUUCGCCUGUGACGAAGCGUGAGUGACGGUAAUGGGUAAAGAAGCACCGGCUAACUACGU
rnacentral:rRNA from 1 species